UUAACACAUGCAAGUCGAGCGGUAACAUUUCUAGCUUGCUAGAAGAUGACGAGCGGCGGACGGGUGAGUAACGCGUAGGAAUCUGCCUAGUAGUGGGGGACAACAUGUGGAAACGCAUGCUAAUACCGCAUACGCCCUACGGGGGAAAGGAGGGGAUCUUCGGACCUUUCGCUAUUAGAUGAGCCUGCGUGAGAUUAGCUAGUUGGUGGGGUAAAGGCCUACCAAGGCGACGAUCUCUAGCUGGUCUGAGAGGAUGAUCAGCCACACUGGGACUGAGACACGGCCCAGACUCCUACGGGAGGCAGCAGUGGGGAAUAUUGGACAAUGGGCGCAAGCCUGAUCCAGCCAUGCCGCGUGUGUGAAGAAGGCCUUAGGGUUGUAAAGCACUUUCAGGAGUGAGGAAGGGCGUUUAGUUAAUACCUGUAUGUUUUGACGUUAACUCCAGAAGAAGCACCGGCUAACUCUGUGCCAGCAGCCGCGGUAAUACAGAGGGUGCGAGC
rnacentral:rRNA from 1 species